UUGAAGAGUUUGAUCAUGGCUCAGAUUGAACGCUGGCGGCAGGCCUAACACAUGCAAGUCGAACGGUAACAGGAAACAGCUUGCUGUUUCGCUGACGAGUGGCGGACGGGUGAGUAAUGUCUGGGAAACUGCCUGAUGGAGGGGGAUAACUACUGGAAACGGUAGCUAAUACCGCAUAACGUCGCAAGACCAAAGAGGGGGACCUUCGGGCCUCUUGCCAUCGGAUGUGCCCAGAUGGGAUUAGCUAGUAGGUGGGGUAACGGCUCACCUAGGCGACGAUCCCUAGCUGGUCUGAGAGGAUGACCAGCCACACUGGAACUGAGACACGGUCCAGACUCCUACGGGAGGCAGCAGUGGGGAAUAUUGCACAAUGGGCGCAAGCCUGAUGCAGCCAUGCCGCGUGUAUGAAGAAGGCCUUCGGGUUGUAAAGUACUUUCAGCGGGGAGGAAGGGAGUAAAGUUAAUACCUUUGCUCAUUGACGUUACCCGCAGAAGAAGCACCGGCUAACUCCGUGCCAGCAGCCGCGGUAAUACGGAGGGUGCAAGCGUUAAUCGGAAUUACUGGGCGUAAAGCGCACGCAGGCGGUUUGUUAAGUCAGAUGUGAAAUCCCCGGGCUCAACCUGGGAACUGCAUCUGAUACUGGCAAGCUUGAGUCUCGUAGAGGGGGGUAGAAUUCCAGGUGUAGCGGUGAAAUGCGUAGAGAUCUGGAGGAAUACCGGUGGCGCGGCCCCCUGGACGAAGACUGACGCUCAGGUGCGAAAGCGUGGGGAGCAAACAGGAUUAGAUACCCUGGUAGUCCACGCCGUAAACGAUGUCGACUUGGAGGUUGUGCCCUUGAGGCGUGGCUUCCGGAGCUAACGCGUUAAGUCGACCGCCUGGGGAGUACGGCCGCAAGGUUAAAACUCAAAUGAAUUGACGGGGGCCCGCACAAGCGGUGGAGCAUGUGGUUUAAUUCGAUGCAACGCGAAGAACCUUACCUGGUCUUGACAUCCACGGAAGUUUUCAGAGAUGAGAAUGUGCCUUCGGGAACCGUGAGACAGGUGCUGCAUGGCUGUCGUCAGCUCGUGUUGUGAAAUGUUGGGUUAAGUCCCGCAACGAGCGCAACCCUUAUCCUUUGUUGCCAGCGGUCCGGCCGGGAACUCAAAGGAGACUGCCAGUGAUAAACUGGAGGAAGGUGGGGAUGACGUCAAGUCAUCAUGGCCCUUACGACCAGGGCUACACACGUGCUACAAUGGCGCAUACAAAGAGAAGCGACCUCGCGAGAGCAAGCGGACCUCAUAAAGUGCGUCGUAGUCCGGAUUGGAGUCUGCAACUCGACUCCAUGAAGUCGGAAUCGCUAGUAAUCGUGGAUCAGAAUGCCACGGUGAAUACGUUCCCGGGCCUUGUACACACCGCCCGUCACACCAUGGGAGUGGGUUGCAAAAGAAGUAGGUAGCUUAACCUUCGGGAGGGCGCUUACCACUUUGUGAUUCAUGACUGGGGUGAAGUCGUAACAAGGUAACCGUAGGGGAACCUGCGGUUGGAUCACCUCCUU
rnacentral:rRNA from 1 species